CGCAGCUUCCCAUCCAGCUCCUCACACUCCCCGACAACCCCUCGCACACGUCUCUGCAGCUUUCCUCACGAUUCUGCGCACCGUUCCACACACGGUUCCUCACCGCUCCCCACGUUUCCCAAACAGCUCCUCCCGCCAUGGCUCACACACUUCCUCACACGUUCCUCACACAACCCUUCACGCCAUCCCCAAUGCGGGUGCACACACACUUUCCACACACUUCCUCAGGCCAUUCGCCCGUGUGCACCCCGUUCCUACACACAGCGCUCCACACGGCUCCUCACGGGUCCCCAACAGCACCUCCAUGUUCCCACCCAGUUCCACACAGUUCCACACUCAGUUCCACACUCAGUCCCUCACUCAGUUCCACACUCAGUUCCUCACAGUUCCACACUCAGUUCCUCACUCACUUCCUCACUCAGUUCCUCAUAGUUCCACACUCAGUUCCUCACAGUUCCACACAGUUCCACACUCAGUUCCACACUCAGUCCCUCACUCAGUUCCACACUCAGUUCCUCACAGUUCCACACUCAGUUCCACACUCAGUCCCUCACUCAGUUCCACACUCAGUUCCUCACUCACUUCCUCACUCAGUUCCUCUCAGUUCCACACUCAGUUCCUCACUCACUUCCUCACAGUUCCACACUCAGUUCCUCACAGUUCCACACUCACUUCCUCACUCAGUUCCUCACAGUUCCUCACUCAGUUCCUCACAGUUCCACACUCAGUUCCUCAUAGUUCCCCACAGUUCCCACACUUCCCCACACUGGCUGACACGCUUCCUCGCACGGUUCUGCGG
rnacentral:lncRNA from 1 species